UUUGACACGACAUUGCUCACAUUGCUUCCAGUGUAAUAUUUAGCUUUUUGGGGAGUUGAUUUUAC
rnacentral:antisense_RNA from 1 species